AUUGAACGCUGGCGGCAGGCCUAACACAUGCAAGUCGAACGAGUGGCGGACGGGUGAGUAAUGUCUGGGAAACUGCCUGAUGGAGGGGGAUAACUACUGGAAACGGUAGCUAAUACCGCAUACCAUCAGAUGCGCCCAGAUGGGAUUAGCUAGUUGGUGGGGUAACGGCUCACCAAGGCGACGAUCCCUAGCUGGUCUGAGGGGAUGACCGGCCAAACUGGAACUGAGACACGGGCCAGACUCCUACGGGAGGCAGAAGGGGGGAAUAUUGCACAAUGGGGGCAAGCCUGAUGCAGCCAUGCCGCGUGUAUGAAGAGGGCCUUCGGGUUGUAAAGUACUUUCAGCGGGGAGGCGUUACCCGCAGAAGAAGCACCGGCUAACUCCUGGCCAGCAGCGCGGUAAUUC
rnacentral:rRNA from 1 species